ACAGUGAAUCUCGUACGAGUUUGUGCUGAAAUAUUCUCACUGCAGAUCACGUGUGAAACUCGUCUGAAUCACCUGAAACAUCAUGUGUACCAUCACAUGCAUGCCUGGAAGCUGGUCUGAAUGGAAGGAAGUUGAUCAUCCGGUGAAGAAAAUCUGCGAGUUGUUAAAACAUGAAGCUGAGAGUAAAAGCAAGAAGUUUCCAGUUUAUGUCCCCCUGAAUUACCGAAGCCAGACUGUUGCAGGAACAAACUAUGAAAUUAAGGUGUUUGUGGGAAAUGACUCGUGUCUUUUUCUGAGAGUUUUCCAGGGACUCGGUCCUGAUCCUAAACCAGUGCUUCAGAAAACUACAGUGCUUUCACUUCCCAGCAUCAUUACCCAUUAAAAUCCCUGAAUAAUGAUCUGUGUGUAAUGAAAUAUUCUCUGUCAUUGCCUCAUGCUUGUGGUAAAGAGACAACUUAAAGACAAUAAUAAACUUCUUCAAAUGAUCAGUACAAA